rnacentral:rRNA from 1 species
UGUCUUUUUGAGAUAAUAUAAAGUCUAAUCUGCCCACUGAUUAAAAAUUAAAGGGCUGCAGUAUAUUGACUGUACAAAGGUAGCAUAAUCAAUAGUCAUUUAAUUGGUGACUUGUAUGAAAGAUUGGAUGAAAUAUAAACUGUCUUUUAUUUAAUUAUAAAAUUUAAUUUUUUUUUUAAAAAGUUAAAAUAAUUUAAAAAGACGAGAAGACCCUAUAGAGUUUUAUAAAUAAUUAAGUUAAAAUUAUAUUGAAAAUUUAAGUUUUAAAUUUAAUUUAUUUAUUUUGUUGGGGUGACAGAAAAAUAUAAAAAACUUUUUUGUUUUAAAAGACAUUUAUAAUUGAUUAAAAUGAUCCAAUAAUAUUGAUUAUAAGAAAAAAUUACCUUAGGGAUAACAGCGUAAUUUUUUUUUUUAGUUCAAAUAAAAAGAAGAGUUUGCGACCUCGAUGUUGGAUUAAGAUAAAGAUUAGGUGUAGAAG